GCCUAUGUCCAACAUCACCGUGAACUGCCCGGCGGAAUCUCGUCCGAUUUUGACAACUAAGCACUACUGAGCCUGUUUUGUACUUGGAUGGGAGGACUGCCUGGAAAUACCAGGUGUUGUAGGCU
rnacentral:rRNA from 1 species